UACGAGUUGUGCAAACGUUAUUCGGAAUCACUGGGCUUAAAGGGUGCGUAGGCGGCUAUGAAAGUCAGAUGUGAAAUCCCUCGGCUCAACCGGGGAACUGCAUUUGAAACUGUAUAGCUUGAGGGAGACAGAGGUGAGCGGAACUGAUGGUGGAGCGGUGAAAUGCGUUGAUAUCAUCAGGAACACCGGUGGCGAAAGCGGCUCACUGGGUCUUAUCUGACGCUGAGGCACGAAAGCCAGGGGAGCAAACGGG
rnacentral:rRNA from 1 species